AUUUGGUUUUAUACCUUGCGUGGUGAUUACAUGCCCGAGGAAAUCAGUUUCCUUCUUCAUGAAUUCGCAUUUGUCUAAUUGUAAUUUCAAAUUUGCUUCCCGAAGUUUUGAGAAGACUUUCGAAAUGGAUGAUAUGUGCUCUUCCAAUGAAGAAGGUACAAUGGUGUGCUUAGAAGUGUUUGGCGUAAGCCUGCAUGGAGCCGUCAUUGGUACAUAUCUUGGUGGUAGUAGCAAAUAAUCGAAUGAGACCUUGGAGGACUGAAGUGGAGAAGGGUUUCGUGUGAACAGUGGUUGAUCACGAGUUAGUCGGUCCUAAGUUCAAGGCGAAAGCCGAAAAUUUUCAAGUAAAAAAAAGUAACUAAAAUUUAAAUUUUGUCAUAAUUAAAAAAACUUGAAUAAUUUUGAACGAAAGGGAAUACGGUUCCAAUUCCGUAACCUGUUGAGUAUCCGUUUGUUAUUAAAUAUGGGCCUCGUGCUCAUCCUGGCAACAGGAACGACCAUAAAGAAGCCGUCGAGAGAUAUCGGAAGAGUUUUCUUUUCUGUUUUAUAGCCGUACUACCAUGGAAGUCUUUCGCAGAGAGAUAUGGUAGAUGGGCUAGAAGAGCAUGACAUACACUGUUGUGUCGAUAUUUUCUCCUCGGACCUUGAAAAUUUAUGGUGGGGACACGCAAACUUCUCAACAGGCCGUACCAAUAUCCGCAGCUGGUCUCCAAGGUGAAGAGUCUCUAGUCGAUAGAAUAAUGUAGGUAAGGGAAGUCGGCAAAUUAGAUCCGUAACUUCGGGAUAAGGAUUGGCUCUGAAAAUUGAGAUAGUCGGGCUUGAUUGGGAAACAAUAACAUGGUUUAUGUGUUCGUUCUGGGUAAAUAGAGUUUCUAUCAUUUAUGGUAGUUUCUUGUUCCCCGGAUAGUUUAGUUACGUAGCCAAUUGUGGAACUUUCUUGCUAAAAUUUUUAAGAAUACUAGUUGGGCAACCAGUUAGUUCUUUUAAAUUAUAACGAUUAUCAAUUAACAAUCAAUUCAGAACUGGCACGGACUUGGGGAAUCCGACUGUCUAAUUAAAACAAAGCAUUGUGAUGGCCCUAGCGGGUGUUGACACAAUGUGAUUUCUGCCCAGUGCUCUGAAUGUCAAAGUGAAGAAAUUCAAGUAAGCGCGGGUCAACGGCGGGAGUAACUAUGA